AUGAUUUUGUAAGUGUGGUAGAAGCAGCUAUGAUUGACGUACGGCAAGUUGUAUGUUUCAUUGCCUGAGAGGGAAGUGAGGAUGGGAGGAGGCAAACUGACAGAUGUGAAAAGCAAAUAAAUUAAUGAUGUGUGAUCUUACUUAGAGGAUAAUGAAAGAGAAGAUUCAGGAAAAAAAUUAAAGCAGUUUAAAAUUCAAGCUAGUUGUUUCACCAGCUUUCCCUCCCCUAAGCCUAAGAAAUGUUAGCAGCAGCAGGUACCCAGGGACUAUGAUGACCACAGAAACCGACCACGUCACAAGGGGGUGCUGAAGGAGAUGGAGCGCCUCAGAGAAAAAGCCACUGCUCUGCUUUCUCCCUGAGCCAGCCAUGUGCCUCGGCCUCCUAUGCUGUGUGGCCCUUUUUUUCUGGGGAGCAGGUUCCAUGGACACUGAGGUCACUCAGAGUCCAAGUCAUCUGAUCAAAGGAAAAGACCAGAGAGCAAAGAUGGAUUGUGUUCCCAAAGAAGGACACGCUUACGUUUACUGGUAUCGCAAGAAGCUGGAAGAAGCAUUUGAGUUUUUGGUUUACUUUCAGAAUCAAAACAUGAUGGAAGAUACAGCUCUGUUCAAACAGCGAUUUUCAGCCAAGUGCCCCCAAAACUCACCCUGCAGCCUGGAAAUCAACUCCACCGAGCCAGCGGACUCAGCUCUGUAUUUCUGUGCCAGCAGCCAGUCCACAGUGCUGCACGUCAGCUCUUCUUAG